UUCUUUCUUCACAUUUAAGUAGAAAACCUCUCUCCAUCUCUAGUUUCUCUCACAAAUUUGGAGGGCUGUGUUAUCUUCUGAGUGGUAAUGCAGUGAUUUUGUAAUGAUCAAACGAUUUAAUAGUGAGAAAUUCUCAAUUUCUGCUAGUUUAACUGAAGAAAGUUUCGCAUACAAUUAAAUUCUGGAGUUUCAAUGACUGUAUAUGUGUUUUAGAACAUAUUCAAGUUCGAUUGUGCUGAUUUGAUGCCUUUCGAUUGAUAUUUGGAAGACGAUUUGUGUCGCAAGGUGAAUUUUUGAGAGAUUUGAGAUCGGUUUCGGGGAUGAGAGGAUCGCAAUCGAUCGAAGAAACCUCAGAAUCCUUCCUGUUUCUCUGUUGAAAGCGCUAUUCUCAGCGCUGUUUGGGAGCAAAUCAGCUUAAAUUGCUGUGGAUUCUGCUUGUUUUUUGAGGCGUAUGCGACGUCAAUUCGUUUCUGCUGAAUUUUUUUGAGAGGUUCAACUCUGUUAACAUCCAAGUUGGAGACCAAGAUUUGGAGGACUCCGGCUUUACUGAUAUUUAUUUAUCAGAUUUAAUCGGCAGAGGUUGUAGGUUUCAGUGGUGGAGAACAGGCGUACAAAAGGGGGGGCGAUGGAUAGGAACAUUCCUCACUCCACCAAUAAAGACGGCUUAUUGGUGAGAUCUGAAUCCAAGUCAGCCGCUACGACGUCGUCCGACUUCGUCUUGCAGUGGGGCAACAGGAAAAGGCUACGCUGCAUGAAGUUCCAGGCCAAGGACCACACCAAUAACAACUCGAUUCCGGUUCAGCGGGCCACCACCCGGAUCGAUCGCCGGGUUGUCAGGUCGGAUCUCAUCAAGAGAGAAGAUCCCAACUCGAAUCAGCUCAAUACUAAUAAGAGUAACGGUGGUGGUAACGGCUAUUUGAACCUCCGUCAGCGGCCGGCCUCUCCGUCUCAUCGAAUUUUGAGGAAUUCAGAGAGUUCUCUUGGUAUGAGAGGACACAGCAACGGAGUAAGGGGUUUGACAUCCCCUGAAAGAGGAGAGAAGAGGGGUGGUACCACCGGAAACAGUAAUAGUACCAAGAACAACAACAAUAAUUCUAGUCACCGCAACGACAACCACUAUCAACACGGCAGUGGAGGUGUUGGCUCCGGGUCAUCCGGGACAGGCCACGAUGAGAAAAAGGGCGGCUCGUCUUCUGGCGGCGACACCACCAUCUUGGCGAUGUGGCCGCCGAAAUUUGUGAUCGCCCUGACAAACAAAGAGAAGGAAGAAGAUUUCAUGGCAAUCAAAGGGUCCAAGCUCCCGCAAAGACCAAAGAAGCGAGCCAAGUUUAUCCAACGCACACUCAACUUGGUUAGUCCAGGCGCAUGGUUAUGCGAUCUGACCUUGGAAAGGUACGAGGUCAGAGAGAAGAAGGUUUCUAAGAAGAGACCAAGAGGGUUGAAGGCGAUGGGAAGCGUGGAGUCGGAUUCAGAGUAGAGGGGAAGAUUUGGACUUGGUAAAAGUGGAGGGAAGAUCGAGAUAUUUAUAACAGGGAAUACAGCUAUUUCUUGUGGAAAGCAUAUUUUUUUUAAUGCAAGACGAAGGAUUUGCGAAGAUAUGGGAGGUUCGGAGCAGCAACGCCGUCGUAGACUCCUCAAGCGAUGAUGAAGAAGGGUCGUCAAACAAGCAAGUCUUGUUUGCGAAGGAUGAAGGCGAUGAGGAUGAUGACUAUCCACGAAGCCAUGGCACCGUGAGAGUUGAAGAAAAGAAGCUAAAACAAAUCAAGCGGAAGAAGAAAGUGACAACGAUGAAGAAGAAUAAGAAGAAGAAACAAAGCUUGAAAGAUGAGGGAAUGCUGAAAGAUCUAAAGGUGUUCGCGGAUUCUCUAGUUCGCGAGCUUGCAUCUGCCAAGGAGACCAUGUUUGCGCGUAUGCGCGAUGAGAUGAGAGUCAUGGUUGCUUCUGAAUCCGCUAAGAAGACGAAGAGGGAGAAGAAGACGAAGGAGGUUUGUGCAAAUGAAAAGAUUGGAUCAUCAAAGCUUGAGAUGAAUAAUAGUUUGAAUUUGAUGAAUAAUCACAUUCCCUAUAUGGAUAACCACUCAUCAACCUCAUCUAGGGUUGAAUUUUGCAAGUUGAUGGCUGCAUCUCAAAAAUUGGCUGAAUUGAAGCAACAACUACUUUUUGGGGGCUUUUCUUCGGACUAUAAAAAAUCAUGGGGUUUUAAUGGUGAAAGACGUUCCUUCGUUGCCGGAGCCGGGCUCCCGGCCCCAGUAAGUCGAGAGAUGGUCAAUGGUUAUUCUAGUAGGUCGAGUCUAUCGUUCAUGACUGAGAAGGGUGCGACGAUUCGGGUACCGUAGCACCCGAUGGUAGCCAAUAGUGUUACUGGUAGCACGUGGCUCGCUUCAGUGAGGCAGAAUUCCAACUAGGCAACAAAGUGAAUCUUUUACUGUUAUUCACUAUAACAUUUCUUUUUCAAUCAA